CAGUCGAACGGGCUUAACAUGAAACCUAGUGAUUGUUAAGUUAGUGGCGGACGGGUGAGUAACGCGUGGAUAACCUGCCGUAUGCAGGGGGAUAACAGUUGGAAACAGCUGCUAAUACCGCAUAAGCGCACAGUGCCGCAUGGCACAGUGCGAAAAGAUUUAUCGGCAUACGAUGGAUCCGCGUCCGAUUAGCCAGUUGGCGGGGUAACGGCCCACCAAAGCGACGAUCGGUAGCCGGCCUGAGAGGGCGGACGGCCACAUUGGGACUGAGACACGGCCCAAACUCCUACGGGAGGCAGCAGUGGGGAAUAUUGCACAAUGGGGGAAACCCUGAUGCAGCGACGCCGCGUGAGUGAAGAAGUAUCUCGGUACGUAAAGCUCUAUCAGCAGGAAAGAAAGUGACGGUACCUGAUUAAGAAGCCCCGGCUAACUACGUGCCAGCAGCCGCGGUAAUACGUAGGGGGCAAGCGUUAUCCGGAUUUACUGGGUGUAAAGGGAGCGUAGACGGCGCUGCAAGUCCGGAGUGAAAGCCCAUGGCUUAACCAUGGUACUGCUCUGGAAACUGUGGAGCUUGAGUGCGGGAGGGGCAGGCGGAAUUCCUAGUGUAGCGGUGAAAUGCGUAGAUAUUAGGAGGAACACCGGCGGCGAAGGCGGCCUGCUGGACCGUAACUGACGUUGAGGCUCGAAAGCGUGGGGAGCAAACAGGAUUAGAUACCCUGGUAGUCCACGCCGUAAACGAUGAUUACCAGGUGUCGCGGUA
rnacentral:rRNA from 1 species